rnacentral:lncRNA from 1 species
UGUUGCUCCUCCUCUGUUUUGUGAAAGAUUUUGUGGAAAAUAGAUUAAUUUUCUGUUAAAUGUUUGAAAGACUCCGUCAGUGAAGUCACCAGGACCUGCUGUUUUACUGCCUGUAGGGAGGUGCCUGGCGAAGCUACUGUGGUUUGUUUCAAGUACAGGCAAGAUGAGUGCCUGAAAAUGGUAGCUCCUGAUGAAGUGUCACUGGAUUGGACCUUUGAGUUAGGAGUGUUCCAGAAUCUCUCAAACACAAGACCAGUGUGGCGAUAAUACAAGUCAAUUAACUAAGAAGUAUCUUCGGGCUGCAAAGCGGAUGGCCAGAUGCUAAAGAUCUAAUGGAAGACUCCAGAGUCCUUCAGGACUCCCAGGCCAGGAGAUGGCGGAACUAUAGAUGGAAGUAGCCUGAAUGCCUGAGUCAUUUCAUGGUAGAAGAUGUCCAAGAACACCAGUUAAACUGGAGCAUCUCCACUGGAUGUUUGUAAAUGAAAAAUAAAUUGUUACCAUAUUAAGCCAUUACGACAUUGGUUUUCUUUGUUACAGCCGUUAGUCAACACAAAACUAGCAAUUUCUUUCUGAUAUCUUGAAAUAUUUAC